rnacentral:rRNA from 1 species
AUUGAACGCUGGCGGCAUGCUUUACACAUGCAAGUCGAACGGUAACAGGCCGCAAGGUGCUGACGAGUGGCGAACGGGUGAGUAAUGCAUCGGAACGUGCCCAGUCGUGGGGGAUAACUACUCGAAAGAGUAGCUAAUACCUCAUACGAUCUAUGGAUGAAAGCGGGGGACCGUAAGGCCUCGCGCGAUUGGAGCGGCCGAUGUCAGAUUAGGUAGUUGGUGGGGUAAAGGCUCACCAAGCCAACGAUCUGUAGCUGGUCUGAGAGGACAACCAGCCACACUGGGACUGAGACACGGCCCAGACUCCUACGGGAGGCAGCAGUGGGGAAUUUUGGACAAUGGGCGCAAGCCUGAUCCAGCAAUGCCGCGUGCAGGAAGAAGGCCUUCGGGUUGUAAACUGCUUUUGUACGGAACGAAACGGCUCUGGUUAAUACCCGGGGCUAAUGACGGUACCGUAAGAAUAAGCACCGGCUAACUACGUG